AUGAAGGCCAACUGGAUCGUCCUCAUCCACCAAUGCAGUAGUCCAUGGCGUCUCAUGGAUAUCUACACCCAGCGAGAGAUCACCCUUCCAUCAUUGGAUACCGCCGCCAUCGAGCCUCACGACGCAAAUGCAUUGGCCUUCAUGAUUCCAGGACCUGGAAUCAUACCAGCUGAUGGGUGUUGUGCAGAAGCCAUAUAUCAAUUAGGCUUCAAGUGCUACCAUAUAACUGGAAUUAACCGAUGCAAGUCCAAGAAGGAUUGGUCGGUGCUGCCGGCUAGCGUCAAGUUCGAUCCCAUGGAUCAGGAGCUGAUCGAGCACCUUGAGGCCAAACGCAAUUCCAGGGCAUUCAAUAGGGGCACAUGGAUGCGUCGCAAGAUACAGUCGGAGUGCGGCAUGCACGCGAUGUGGCACAAGACCGGCAAUACCUUGCCGGUGAUGGUCAAUGGCCGACAGGCAGGCAGCAAAAAGGUUCUGGUACUGCACACCAACAAGAACUUCGACCAGCAAAGGACCAACUGGGUGAUGCAACAGUACCACGUCGGGGACCUGGAGCAAUAG
rnacentral:rRNA from 1 species